AGUGAACGCUGGCGGUAGGCCUAACACAUGCAAGUCGAACGGCAGCACAGUAAGAGCUUGCUCUUACGGGUGGCGAGUGGCGGACGGGUGAGGAAUACAUCGGAAUCUACUUUUUCGUGGGGGAUAACGUAGGGAAACUUACGCUAAUACCGCAUACGACCUACGGGUGAAAGCAGGGGAUCUUCGGACCUUGCGCGAUUGAAUGAGCCGAUGUCGGAUUAGCUAGUUGGCGGGGUAAAGGCCCACCAAGGCGACGAUCCGUAGCUGGUCUGAGAGGAUGAUCAGCCACACUGGAACUGAGACACGGUCCAGACUCCUACGGGCAGCAGCAGUCGGGACUAUUCGACAAUGGGCGAGAGCCUGAUCCAGGCAUACCGCGUGCGUGAAGAAGAAGUUCGGGUUGGAAAGACGUUUACUUAGGCAAGAAAAGCAGCAGGUUAAGACGUCGCUGGUCUGACGGUACCAAGAGAAUAAGCAACGGCUGACUUCGUG
rnacentral:rRNA from 1 species